UAUAUAUAUAUAGAUGACAAUCAUGACACCAAGCAAAGGUUUUUUUUCGUUCUAGAAUUAAAGGUUAAUAAGAAUUCCUGUCAGAAACAUUUGGGCCAUUUGUGAAGUCCACACACAGACAGACAGAUGGAGGAACUGAAACAAGCACUGACAGACAUACAGACAACAGAGAGUAGCCUUAUAGGGUAUCUCAACGAUGUCCUCAAUGGUAAGAGAUGUCCACAACGUCCACAGUUUAUGACAUGCAUGAUUUAACUCGAGUUCCUCUAGCCAAUAGUUAAUUAAAAUACAUUGUUACAUUGUACACUUCACUUUGACCUUUACUGCAUGAACAACUAGGGUUGUGGAGUUGAGUAUGGAUAAACAUGUGGCUUAAAUGGGAAGAUGAAUUUUAUAUAAACAUGUAGAUAUCAAAUUAAUAUAUAGAUUCUUAUCAUAGAAUGAAAGGUUAAUAUUUAUUACAAGUGUUGUGAAAUGUAAAUGUACUAGAUAUCUUGGUACAACCUUUGACCCUGCUCCAUACAUUACCCUGCUCCAUACAUUACCCUGCUCCAUACAUUACCUGGAGCUUCAGCAUGACUACAUCCAUCUAACUUAUCAGAGUCUAUUCUAUAUAUAAAUAUACCUAUUUUGUUUGUUAUAUCUACCCCUGUUUGUUGCAUGUACCCAUGAUUUCUUUAUUCUUCACAAGGUAUGGCUGUAUAUAUAUAUGUAUGCAUUGUAUUUGUGUACCAUGUUGACCAUCUAAUAUCAAUUACAGUAAAACACGGUUAUAGCGAACACACUUAAAAUGUAUUGGUGCUUACAGUGAAGUGAUUUUCAUUCCCCGUGACUGUAUAAUAUGUUGUAAACUUAAUGGAGUUAACGAAUUUUGCUUAUAGCGAAGUAAAAUCACUUGUCCCUGGCACUUCGUUAUAAGCGUGUUUUACUGUACACGGCAUUUAUCACUGACUACUUGUAGAGCCUGAUGGUGUGUCCCAGUUAAUGGAUGGAAGAAUCGGAAGGCUGUUUGAGCUGGCCAAGUGCUACAAGUCUGCAUUUGACAGGUAAAGACAAUAUUGGUGUUUACUAGGCUAGUAAUGCAAAUUUUGCUUGUAAACAUGUUAAAAAAUUAUAACAUAUUUUUACUAAAUAUGUACCUUUGAGUAUUUAUUUUAACCUUGCAAUGAAAUUUUGAAAUUGCUUUGACAGAUUGAAGGUAACAUCAAGAGCUGAGUUUCAAGAGCACAUCAAGAGAGGUUACAGGUACGCAGAGAAUUUAUUUCCUCUUUCUUCGUCAAAUGAGAUCGAAAGACUAGCUUAAUCAGGAUGAUAAAGAAAGUGACAGCUAGUGUUAAAACAGAAGAACUGAAGGUUGGAAAAAAAUAUGAUGGCAAUAAAAGCUAGAUCGAGAAAUUCUGAAUUCAUCAAUCCAGGUCUUUUCAUCGAUUCUUUAAUAAAUGUUCGUUUUCAAUGAAAUAUAUAGUG
rnacentral:misc_RNA from 1 species